AUAGAGACUCAGAGCUGCAUAUCAAUAAGCGGAGGAAAAGAAACUAACUAGGAUUCCCUUAGUAACGGCGAGUGAAGCGGGAAGAGCUCAAAUUUGAAAUCUUCAAGGUUCUACCUUGACGAAUUGUAGUUUAAAGAAGUGUUUUCUGUUAGUGGAGUGGCAAAAGUUCUUUGGAAUAGGACAUCAUAGAGGGUGAGAAUCCCGUAUUUGACCAUUUCUUUCAGCUUUGUGAUACACUUUCAAAGAGUCGGAUUGUUUGGGAAUGCAGUCCAAAAUGGGUGGUAAAUUUCAUCUAAAGCUAAAUAUUGGCGAGAGACCGAUAGCGAACAAGUACCGUGAGGGAAAGAUGAAAAGAACUUUGAAAAGAGAGUUAAACAGUACGUGAAAUUGUCAAAAGGGAAGCGUUUGACACCAGUGUUGUUUUUCUCGAAAAUCAAUUGCGAAAUGGUUGGAUGUUUUGAGUAGUUAUGACUUCAUCAGCUUUCUGCACUUUCUUUAUGAAUCUUUUCUUAAUGCACUUUUCGUUUAACAAGUCAACAUCAAUUUCUUUUGUUGUAAAAGAGUAUGAGGAAGGUGGCUUUCUUUUCGGAGAAAGUGUUUAUAGCCUUGUGCCUCUGCAAUCGGAGAGAUUGAGGUCUGCAGCGUAGAUCCUUCGGGGUUAGAUACAUUUGUGCUAAGUUAUAGCUUUUCAUAGACAACUUGUUGACUAUGUUUAGUCUUGUAGCUUACUCGCUUACUGCUAUUUUACCUACGCUUAGGAUGUUGAUAUGCAUGACUGAUAU
rnacentral:rRNA from 1 species